rnacentral:lncRNA from 1 species
AAGACCAUAGGUCUGUUAGCAAUGGUGUAUGGACCAGCACAUAUGACCUCCUUAGCAUCUUCCAUGGUUUGAAAUUUAGCUACAUAAUACCCCUCCUCAUGGUAGUAUAGAUCUGGCUCUGGAACAUGAGACCAGUGUAGGUUAAUGUAUCGUUUCAUAGCAUUAUAACCUGGCCCAGUCCCCAAAACAAAAAUCACCAUAGAACACUUCCAUUUCUGCUCUUCCUCCUC